AACGAACGCUGGCGGCAUGCCUAACACAUGCAAGUCGAACGAGACCUUCGGGUCUAGUGGCGCACGGGUGCGUAACGCGUGGGAACCUGCCCUUAGGUUCGGAAUAACUCCCCGAAAGGGGUGCUAAUACCGGAUAAUGUCUUCGGACCAAAGAUUUAUCGCCUUUGGAUGGGCCCGCGUUGGAUUAGCUAGUUGGUAGGGUAAAAGCCUACCAAGGCGACGAUCCAUAGCUGGUCUGAGAGGAUGAUCAGCCACACUGGGACUGAGACACGGCCCAGACUCCUACGGGAGGCAGCAGUGGGGAAUAGUGGACAAUGGGCGAAAGCAUGAUCCAGCAAUGACGCGUGAGUGAUGAAGGCCUUAGGGUUGUAAAGCUCUUUUAACCGGGAUGAUAAUGACAGUACCGGGAGAAUAAGCCCCGGCUAACUCCGUG
rnacentral:rRNA from 1 species